UAUGCUUCUUGAUUCCUUUGUCAAAGCUUAGGGUGAGGUUAUCACAUACUCCACCUUUUAUCUUUGAGUGACUUAUUUUUUCCGGUGUUGAAGUUUUUUUUUUUGUGUGUUUCUGUAUCUGUUAACUUCAGUUUUACUCUGUGGUUUUGCAUACAAGCUUUUAGAGUAACACUUCCCUUCCCAAGAUGAGUUUUGGACAACUUGGUAGGUGCUGUUUGUUAUGAUGAUUUGUUUGUUGCGGAUCAAUUGACUACAGUGGCCCUAGGACUCCUCUGGUAUUAGGUUGAAGCUUAAAUUGUGACAUUUCGUAUGAUUACAAGAUAUUCCAAAUUGGACCGAAAUUUGUUCCAAUGAACUAUCCUGUUCUGCAGGCUGUGUUCAAUGCCUUGUUUGGUCAUCUCUACUAAUAAAGACUUCACAGUUCCGAGACUUGUUAAGAUAAAACCAGUAACUUGUUUUUGGCAAGCAAAGGUUAACAUACUAUCAUUCAAUUCAGUCUUGCGAUCAAACCAGUAAUUUUUUCACAUCUGUUCGUUUUGUGAUUGGGGAUGUUUGUCUUUUGAUGGUGUCUGCUAGUGUUGGUGUUUUUUGUUUUGUUUUUGUAUCAGCUGCAUGAACAUUGAUGCAGACAAGAUUCAAAGUAUAUCUCUUUGCCCUCACCAAGGAUGAGGAAUUCUGAACAGCUUGGUUAUGGCUUUCUCUUGUUCUGUUAAUUUAUUACUUUCCUUUGUUAUGAUUCUUUCACUAUUUUCUUGUCCCUUGUGACAUAUAAGAAUAAGACUAUGAAUUCUCACACAAAUGGGUUUUUGUCACAGUGAGGAAGCCUAAAUUAUUGUCAUUUCACAUGAAGCACCUAUCUGCAAUUAGAUGUAUUCGCAUUGUUACGUUGUAUGCUAAAUCAGUGGUGAUCUCCACUCUGACUAAGAAUUCUUCGCGUUUCUGUCUCUUGAGGAUCUAGUUUUUCUUAAUUUCCUAUAG
rnacentral:lncRNA from 1 species